AGAUGUGCCUACUAAACCAGAGGACAUUUGUGUGCGUGAUUUCUUAUUUAAGAAAAGACUUCUGACUACUGCUGCUAGCAGGGAACAACUUUUAUCAGAUUCUUGUGCCUGACCAAUUUGAAAAUUCCAGGUGGCUCGGCUUAACUAUAGCUAUCCUGGUGGUUUGAAAUCUUACAUUAAAACUGCUAGAGAACUUUUAGGGGACUCAAAAUGGGAAGAAUCCAUUUGAUGGCUUCACUCCUUCUGUUCCAACAGGAGAAUCUUUAAUUUUUGGUGAUGGUACCUUUAUCAAUUAUGAGCAGGCAGGAGUUAAGGAAGCUAAGAAUGCUGCCCUUGUUCUUGUUGCAGUGGUCUUGGGGAAUGCCUUGGAUGCAAUGGAAUUAAG